CGUCAACAUGAAAAGCGGAUGAUGAUGUUAUGUAAAAAAUGCUAAAGUAGUCGCAGUUUGUUAAAUGCGAGUAAAAUAUUUAUCCCGCGGCGAAUUCCAACUGCUAUUCCAGUUUCCGCAGCGGCACCGACGGACGGUUCCCCGCUCGGCCGCGGACAGAUCCGCGCCGUUCGGAGAGGAGCUCCAGUGGAGCGGAGGAAGAUGAUCGCAACUCGACUGAGUCGUCCGCUGGUCGCUCUCCCUCCCGGGGUCCAAACACCUGACCACCACCCCUCCUGGAGGAGUAGCAGCCGGAGGGGCUUCUUUAGUGGACGUUUUACUCGGAACAUAACUAUCUAGCGUUUCUUCAGGAAAGAGAAAAACACUGAAAGUGGCUGGAGACUUAAUUCAAGCGACCGAGGACACCGUGAGAACCGAGGUAAAGCGGGGUCAGAGCCCGGCGUGCUGGGGGUGUUGGCACGCUGAAGGAUCAACUUGCUUCUACUGGUAAAACGCCUGGUCCUCAUGCAGCCUCGCAUGAUAUUAUCUCCAGCAUGCCACUUCGGAAGUAGGUCACCGUUUACCGUGUUGCCGUGACUCUGGCUGCUGGAGGAUAUUCGCUCCCACGGAUCGUCUCGCAGAUCGGCUAUAGAAACAUUUUCAAGCAGGGGAAAAACCUUCGGAUCUUUUCCUGGUCCGUAGACCCAUCGCGAUCGGGACUCGAGGUAUGAUCUCCCCACAUGCAUCGUCUUUUAAUUUCAGUUUCAGUCGGCUGUACCGUCGCGGAUCGCCUUCCCUG
ensembl:lncRNA